rnacentral:rRNA from 1 species
AGGAUCAUUACUGAAUUACUGAGAGGUUGUAGCUGUCUCUUCGGAGAAUGUGCACGCCGCUCAAAUUCAUCUUAACCUCCUGUGCACUGUUGUAGACUAUGAUAACUCUCAGCUACUUUAGUAGUUGGAUUGAAGGACUUGCGUCUUUAGCUGUCCUUCAAUAUCGUAGUCUAUGUUUUAUCUAUAUACAAAAAGUCUAGAAUGUCGUUCAUGGGUCUUGUACCUAUAAACUUUAUACAACUUUCAACAACGGAUCUCUUGGCUCUCGCAUCGAUGAAGAACGCAGCGAAAUGCGAUAAGUAAUGUGAAUUGCAGAUUUCAGUGAAUCAUCGAAUCUUUGAACGCACCUUGCACUCCUUGGUAUUCCGAGGAGUACGCCUGUUUGAGUGUCAUUAAAUUCUCAAAUCUUUAAUUGUUGUAAUGACGAUUGAAGACUUUGGAUGUGGGAGUCUUUGCUGGCUUUUAUUAGUUCAGCUCUCCUUAAAUGCAUUAGUGGUUACUGUUCUUCCACUUUGGUGUGAUAAUUAUCUACGCCUACAAGUGAAGAUGUUAAGUGUAGCUGCCUUCAAACCGUCCAAGUCUUAUUGGACAACUUUGAACUGUUUGACCUCAAAUCAGGUGGGAUUACCCGCUGAACUUAAGCAUAUCA